AUGGGGCGCGUGGCAUGCCAUAAGAUGGUGCAAUUUGCAGACGUCUUCUCUGAUAAUAUAGACGCACGGGUCUGGAGACAUGUGUGCUUAUACACAUUCACCGAGACUCUCGUAUUAAUUUCGCUCCUCCUCCUCGGCCAGGUCGCCUCUUCCUUCUCCGGAUGCGAUCUGCUUUUCCUGGCUUCUUCCUCUAGAUCCAGUUCUCCCGUCGCUGCCGAUGGUUGAUAUUCCAGCGAGAUCCAGGCCAACGUGCUUUGCGGAAGGAAGGGCAAGUAGGCUCGCCUCCAGAUUUGGUCGCGUUUGGGGAAGAUGGACCGGCGACGGCGUUUGGUUGCCUCUUCCUCCUCCAGAUGCGAUUUGUUUGUCUUAUAUUUUUUUCCAUUAUCCCCAGAAGUUGAUUUGAUUUUGAGGUUGAAAGUUAAGAUAUUUGUCUCUUUGUAAUGUUCUGUUUUGAUUGUGUGUGAUAAAAUAGCGUUGACAAAUUUUGGGGAUCUCUAGAUCAUAUACUGACGAUUAGAAUCUAUUGGCAAUUGCUUCUAAUAUUAGAUUCAUCUACACUGUGUCAUAGAUUGAAACUGUAAGGACUGGGCAUGGUAGUUACAUAUUGCGAAUCAAUGAUUAAGUGAUUGAAUGGAAUGUACCGAUAUUAUUUGAUUGUGGUCUCUUUGUGCAGUUAAUAUGUUCUUGCUUUUUUACUAUAUAUAUUGAUAAACAUGAUAUUGGUUGUGAAGUUGAUGACAGUUAUGAUUUUUGAAGUGUAAUGGUUCAGUUCAUAGUUGAAAAGUUAUCAGCGUUGUGCGAGGCUAAGCAUUUGAGCUUGAAUAUUGGAUGUCUAGCAACUUGUGAUUUCCAAAUUAUGAUUUCAAAACCCUAUAAUAAUUGCUUGUCCUUUUAUUCAGUUACUGGUUGAACUCUAAUGAGAACCAUUUAAGUUAAUAUAUAUCCUUUUCAGUUGAACUAAAGUUUGUUAAUUAAAUUCUCAGUGUAGCAUAAAAAUUUUAAUCCAAAAAUGGAUAAUAAGAUUCAGUUGUUGAUAUAAUGCAUUUUAUGUUGGUCUUGGAAAUCGUUUAGUGCAAAUGCAAAUCAACAGUGGCCUUUUCUAACAAAUACUUUGACAGACAAUGCUAAAUUUUACCUUCUCUCCAUCUUUUUCAUUGUACAGCACCAUCUGAAAAACUAAGAAAUCCAAGAUAUGCUCGGACUGAUUUUUCAUAUUUGUACCAGAAGCAAGAGAUAGUCAAAGAAGUCCUCCAGUCUUUAGAAAAGGGCAAUAACAUAUAAGGCGGAGGGGAAAAUAGGGGUUUUUGCAACACUAAGCAUAUUUGGCGAAAUUUCAGUGUGCAACAGUGCAUAGUUUUAGCAGAGCUGCAGAACUGAAUAAGUUGCUUUGUGAGUGCAACUUCACUUCAAUCUGUGUCCAUUCUGGAAUGACCUAGGAAGAAAGAUUGAAACUGGACAACGCUAGCUGCCAGAUUCUUUUGGUGAAGUAUACUGACCUGUCAGAUAACCUGACAUAUUUUUGGUGAAGUCUUAUCGUUGUAUAUAUUAAGAUUUUUUUUGGUGAAGUUGUUGUAUAUAUUAAGGUUUCUUUUGGUGAAGAAGUCCCAUCGCUGUAUAUAUUGAAGUCUGACCUGUCAGAUUUCAGAAGUCUCAUCGCUGUAUAUAUUAUUUGAUUCGGAGAUUGAUCAGUUGGAGUCUGUGUGGGACACGAAGUCUGUAUCAUGGAAUUUAUGAUUUUCCUUUGUACUCUUUAUGGUUACGGAUCGUCGAUCAAUCAAUUCAACGGUUCGUAACUAAUUUGGAGUCUGUGGGACACGAAGUCUGUAUCAUGGACUUUAUGAUUUUCCUUUGUACUCUUUAUGGUUACGGAUCGUCUUCCUUUGUUCGUAACUAAUUUGGAGUCUGUGGGACACGAAGUCUGUAUCAUGGACUUUAUGAUUUUCCUUUUUACUCUUUAUGGUUACGGAUCGUCGAUCAAUCAAUUCAA